rnacentral:rRNA from 1 species
UACGUAGGCAGCAAGCGUUGUUCGGAGUUACUGGGCGUAAAGAGCGCGCAGGCGGUUUGAGAAGUCAGAUGUGAAAGAGGCCGGCUUAACCGGCAAGGGUCAUUUGAAACUGACAGACUAGAGUACAGCAGAGGAUAGCGGAAUUCCCGGUGUAGUGGUGAAAUGCGUAGAUAUCGGGAGGAACACCAGUGGCGAAAGCGGCUUCCUGGUCCAGCACCGACAUUCAGGCACGAAAGCGUGGGGAGCAAACAGG